UUUAUUAAACAGAAUCUUUUAUUGGAAUAAAAAACUUAGAAAAAAUAUAGGAAAUGGGAAUCAUAUUGUGGUGGCAUUAACAAUAAGUUACACGCACAUACCUAACAUCUUCAUUUACAAAUGUCCAUAUGCAAUAAAGUCAAUCUACACAUUAACAAGAAUGGCUACCAAAUCGUUUUUCUGCAGUACAAAACCUGAAUCAAACAACACAUGAGAAGGAGUAGUCAUUUACCGUUGUUGAGUGCCAAGCAUUCCUUCCAGUAUUUUGAGACACCAUGAGAUGACAAGGUUCCGAAACCUUUUCACAAAGGUUCAACACUCACAAACACCAAAACUCACACUUCUCCAACACACCCCACGAGCUCCGCAAAUUCCGCCUCUUUCCUGAAUAACCGGAGCAUCAAAACUCGCACCAUUACCAGCAGCAUAGAAACCUGAAGGAAAAAGAUGAAUAAAAAUACCGUAAAAAAGUGCAAAAGUAACGAGUUGUGGAGAAACUCACGAAACAGGACGCGCGUAUGUUUGUGGGUUCACAUAGAACUGUUUUUUAUGUUUUAUGUUUUUUGUUUUUCACAGCAGAGGAUGGUGAGAAUUCGGGGUUGCUUGAAUUUCAUAUCAUCGCAUCCUCGGGACGCAGUUCCAGUGGCGUCGUGAUCCGGCAAUACCCGAGAUAUCGAUGAACACAAGCCAUCGAUCAUCGGGGUCCGCAGCUUUGUUCCGCCACAAGAUCCGCGAAAGCUGUAGACAAAAACGG
rnacentral:lncRNA from 1 species